AAUCCAUGGUGCGGGCAUUUCUGAAUCAACGUUUUAAAACGUUCCUAGGCCUCAUGGAAACUUUUUCAUUCCAUUUUUCUGAAAACAACAAUCUCUCUUCUUAAUU
rfam:Gossypium raimondii Chr02_contig_649, whole genome shotgun sequence.